rnacentral:sRNA from 1 species
UAUAUCUUGGCGAUGGUAUCGUUCUGAAUCGGUGAAGGGGGCCAUCUGCGGUCUGCGGCGAUGGCACGAGGUCCGAGGAGGAACUGCCUCCCUCGCUUUGCCCGCAAAGACAGGAGGAGCAUAGCUGAGCUGCAACUUCCGACUCCAAAGACCUCUGUCACAAUUCUACUUACCGACAUGGCCGAGCCGGCCUUUCCUGAUACAACAGCAGCUUCCUUGUCUUCCCUUUCUACCUCUCAACAGAAGUACUCCAAUUCUUCCGGAAAUAAUGAAUGUGCAGCCUCCACGCCCUCAGACUGAUCGAGAGCUCGACAAGUCCAGAGACAAGCUUCAAAAACAUUAAUGGUCUUUCUCAUCCAUGACCUUCCACUUCCUUCGGUGCAAAAGGAUUAUUUGACCCUUCUACAGUAUUGUUUGCAAACUUGGAUUUGUGGGUUCUCAGAUCAUGAGAGACUUCACUUUGAGAAGCGACAAAUCGUUUGGCCUAUUCCAGCUGAUCAAAGCUUGGGCAGGUGACUGCGUAUCUAUUGCCACUCGUCGAAGAUCCAUCAUUACUCCUCGGACCUCUGACGUUAUCCUACUAUUUACCUGCUUAGCUCCAGCUGGGCCAUCUAUAACUGCCGUCAAUCUCAUCAUAAUGAGAUUGGACACAAUGAAUUUUUCUAUGGCAGUCCCACUUAGCUGCCAUAAUUCUUCGCAAUAGGCCCAGAGACGAUGCCUUCGCUGACAGGUCAUUUGUCAGUCCGCAAGGGCAAUGUUUCGCCAUGCAAACAUUCAAUGGCAAUGACGGUCACUCUACCAUUCCUCAAUCAUUAUUCACUUCUUCCGAAAGAAACAGAUCAUAGGUUAAAUGGAGUUGCAAGAAGCGCAUGGUAUCGCAAGAUCUUUUUCUACAUGUUGUAAUUAUUUAUUUCUAGUCGUGUCUCAACAUAUUCUACAUGUACAAUAGGUGUAACGGAGAGCCAUUUAAAACAAU